rnacentral:rRNA from 1 species
UACGUAGGGGGCAAGCGUUGUCCGGAUUUAUUGGGCGUAAAGAGCGUGUAGGCGGCCAGAUAGGUCCGUUGUGAAAACUCGAGGCUCAACCUCGAGACGCCGGUUGAAACCAUCUGGCUAGAGUCCGGAAGAGGAGAGUGGAAUUCCUGGUGUAGCGGUGAAAUGCGCAGAUAUCAGGAAGAACACCCGUGGCUAAGGCGGCUCUCUAGUACGGUACUGACGCUGAGACGCGAAAGCGUGGGGAGCGAACAGG